rnacentral:rRNA from 1 species
GGGAAUUUUGCGCAAUGGGCGAAAGCCUGACGCAGCAACGCCGCGUGCGGGACGAAGGCCCUCGGGUUGUAAACCGCUUUCAGCAGGGAAGAUCCAAGACGGUACCUGCAGAAGAAGCUCCGGCUAACUACGUGCCAGCAGCCGCGGUAAUACGUAGGGGGCGAGCGUUAUCCGGAUUUAUUGGGUUUAAAGGGUGCGUAGGCGGGCUUUUAAGUCAGCGGUAAAAAUUCGGGGCUCAACCCCGUCCGGCCGUUGAAACUGGGGGCCUUGAGUGGGCGAGAAGAAGGCGGAAUGCGUGGUGUAGCGGUGAAAUGCAUAGAUAUCACGCAGAACCCCGAUUGCGAAGGCAGCCUUCCGGCGCCCUACUGACGCUGAGGCACGAAAGUGCGGGGAUCGAACAGG